GGGACACGUGGUAUCCUGUCUGAAUAUGGGGGGACCAUCCUCCAAGGCUAAAUACUCCUGACUGACCGAUAGUGAACCAGUACCGUGAGGGAAAGGCGAAAAGAACCCCGGCGAGGGGAGUGAAAAAGAACCUGAAACCGUGUACGUACAAGCAGUGGGAGCACGCUUAGGCGUGUGACUGCGUACCUUUUGUAUAAUGGGUCAGCGACUUAUAUUCUGUAGCAAGGUUAACCGAAUAGGGGAGCCGAAGGGAAACCGAGUCUUAACUGGGCGUUAAGUUGCAGGGUAUAGACCCGAAACCCGGUGAUCUAGCCAUGGGCAGGUUGAAGGUUGGGUAACACUAACUGGAGGACCGAACCGACUAAUGUUGAAAAAUUAGCGGAUGACUUGUGGCUGGGGGUGAAAGGCCAAUCAAACCGGGAGAUAGCUGGUUCUCCCCGAAAGCUAUUUAGGUAGCGCCUCGUGAAUUCAUCUCCGGGGGUAGAGCACUGUUUCGGCAAGGGGGUCAUCCCGACUUACCAACCCGAUGCAAACUGCGAAUACCGGAGAAUGUUAUCACGGGAGACACACGGCGGGUGCUAACGUCCGUCGUGAAGAGGGAAACAACCCAGACCGCCAGCUAAGGUCCCAAAGUCAUGGUUAAGUGGGAAACGAUGUGGGAAGGCCCAGACAGCCAGGAUGUUGGCUUAGAAGCAGCCAUCAUUUAAAGAAAGCGUAAUAGCUCACUGGUCGAGUCGGCCUGCGCGGAAGAUGUAACGGGGCUAAACCAUGCACCGAAGCUGCGGCAGC
rnacentral:rRNA from 1 species